GACGAACGCUGGCGGCGUGCUUAACACAUGCAAGUCGAACGGAAAGGCCCCUUCGGGGGUACUCGAGUGGCGAACAGGUGAGUAACACGUGAGUAACCUGCCCUUGACUUCGGGAUAACUUCAGGAAACUGGGGCUAAUACCGGAUAGGAAUCCUUGCUGCAUGGUGGGGGUUGGAAAGCUUCGGCGGUUUUGGAUGGACUCGCGGCUUAUCAGCUUGUUGGUGGGGUAGUGGCUUACCAAGGCUUUGACGGGUAGCCGGCCUGAGAGGGCGACCGGCCACAUUGGGACUGAGAUACGGCCCAGACGCCUACGGGAGGCAGCAGGGGGGAAUAUUGCACAAUGGGCGGAAGCCUGAUGCAGCAACGCCGCGUGCGGGAUGACGGCCUUCGGGUUGUAAACCGCUUUCAGCAGGGGCGAAGCUUGUGGUGACGGUACCUGCAGAAGAAGCACCGGCUAACUACGUG
rnacentral:rRNA from 1 species